GAUGAACGCUAGCUACAGGCUUAACACAUGCAAGUCGAGGGGAAACGACAUCGAAAGCUUGCUUUUUCUAGGCGUCGACCGGCGCACGGGUGAGUAACGCGUAUCCAACCUGCCACCACUUGGGGAUAACCUUGCGAAAGUAAGACUAAUACCCAAUGACGUCUCUAGAAGACAUCUGAAAGGGAUUAAAGAUUUAUCGGUGAUGGAUGGGGAUGCGUCUGAUUAGCUUGUUGGCGGGGUAACGGGCCACCAAGGCAACGAUCAGUAGGGGUUCUGAGAGGAAGGUCCCCCACAUUGGAACUGAGACACGGUCCAAACUCCUACGGGAGGCAGCAGUGAGGAAUAUUGGUCAAUGGGCGCAGGCCUGAACCAGCCAAGUCGCGUGAGGGAUGACGGUCCUACGGAUUGUAAACCUCUUUUGUCGGGGAGUAACGUGCGGACGCGUCCCGUAUUGAGAGUACCCGAAGAAAAGCAUACGGCUAACUCCGUG
rnacentral:rRNA from 1 species